ensembl:lncRNA
ACACACACACACACACACACACACACGCAAAAAUACAUCUAAAUUUCUCCAAACACAACACUCCCUGCAUGAUAAAUAGGAAGUCGGUGCCUUUGCCAGGCAGAGGCCAGCACCUUCCUGGAGGCUCCACCUGAGCCGCAUGGCCUCUCUGGGACCCCCGGGACCCACAGCCAGGAAGGAGGUUAAGGAGUCCCUCAGUGGACACCAGGGCUCCCCCAGCCUCUCAUCCACACAUCUGGGAGUGGACACGGGGUCACUGGCUCUGUGCAGCAAGGAUUAGGUUGCCUGGACAGAAUGCCUGCAGACACCAGACAUUUCUUUGAGCUCUCCUUCUCCAUUUGCGGGGGGUGGUGAUCUGCACAGGUGACCUCUCUCUGAGCAAAGGUUCUGGGUGCCCCACACUCNNNNNNNNNNNNNNNNNNNNNNNNNNNNNNNNNNNNNNNNNNNNNNNNNNNNNNNNNNNNNNNNNNNNNNNNNNNNNNNNNNNNNNNNNNNNNNNNNNNCAGGUGACCUCUCUCUGAGCAAAGGUUCUGGGUGCCCCACACUCCCAGGAACAACUCAGCUACAUCUUUCAGCCAAGAAGCCUGCCCCACCUCCAAACCUGGAGAGUGGUUCAGAAGGUUCCCUGCAGAGACGCUCUACGGUACAUUCAUGGCCCAGAGGCUGGCCUCCUCUGUGGGUGUGUAUUGUGGCCCAUGAUGCUGGGACCAGCUUUUCCUGCCCUCAGGUGUCAGACUAGACCUCCCCCUGGUGCCCAGUCUCCAUCCCCCAGCCUGCGGUCCUGGGCUUCAGUUGCCCAUAGACCGGUUUGAUUGACAUGUCCCCAAACCGAAGUGAUCUCAAAUAGUCCUAGGGGCCAGGGGGCACGGUGCUUCCUACCACAAAGCCUCGUCCUCCCAAAGGAGCACAGACCCAGGCUGCUCCCCAUGUGGGAGGGCAGGUCACAGCGAUCUAAGACCCUGUCAACAGCAACUCUCAGCCAAAGUGUGAAAUCCGAGGGCCCCACUGCUUCCAGAAGGUGGCUUGGAGUAUCAGCCUGUUAUAUAAGGAGAAAUGUGUAUUUCCCUGAGACUCCUCCCCUCUCCACACACACCCCCCGCCUCUAUACACACCCUGAAGAGAGCAAGCAAAUUUGCUUUUUUUCCUCCCAAGUAGCAGGUGUUGCUGUGGGAUACAGGGACUUGUUUGAGUGGUCAGUUCAGAUGACUGAAGGGGGGUGUGUGUGUCCGAUGAGUGGGGCCCAGGCUCCUCUCACCUGGGGAUCAGACGGGAAGAAGGACUCUGCCCACCGCUGGCAGUGACCUCCAUCAGUGUAGCAUCAUUGUUGCCUCUGACCCCGGCCUGGGGCUGCCCUUACUCCCAUGGUGAUGGGGGGAAGCAUGUGGCUACCCGAAAUGGUUAGGAGAGGCCGGCGGGUCAUGUUUCCCCAUCUGCUUACUCUAGUCCCCCAAAGUAGGAAAUUUCUGGUGAGGGCAGAAAAUAAAGAACUGGGGUGGGGGUGGGGGAGAGGAGGAAGGAGGGAAAGGGCAGAAAACUUUACAGACGCUCCAAACACCUUUUCAAUUGUUCUUCCUUUAGGAAGGGCCUGUGAACACACAUAGGUGGCUUAGCCAUGGCCACAUGAUGUCCGUGGAGCAUGUUCCUUUGGACACUGGUGCCCAGGACUCCUGUCCCCACUUCCUGCCCUGCCGGCCCAAAAUAGCAAGGUUUUUAAAAAUCCAUGAACUUCUACCCCGAUGGCUCCUCGUCUGCCAAGGUGGGCAGUGAGACCUGUGUGCACCGGUCCACUGAGCUACACUCCACUGGCCCCAUGGCCCGAGAUCGUCAGCAUCAAGGGGAAUGUUACCCCUGACCUGUUUCAUGCCAGUUCCGGGAGCUGUAUGCAGUGUUUCAGGCUCCACUUUCACUGGGCUUGUCCUUGUUUCUGUUCAGAAUUCUGUGUUUCUCUCCACUGAGCACUCUGUGAGUACCUGGGGUAGAGACCUUGAGCAGGGUCCCCAGGAAGCGUCUUCCUUUUCAUACUGGGCCCCUCCCUUCAUGCUCCCCCAGCCUCUGAUUUCUCCUCAGCUCCUGUGAGCACGGCCUGACUCCCCUCUUGGGAUCCUGGACUUGGGCCCCGGAGGGGGUCAUUUUUCAAGCACCAGGGAGGAUUGUGCCACCUCCCUGCCUAGUGCCUACAGCUUCCCCCACAGCACCUCUCAGUCUGCGUCCCCUCCCUGUGGAGAUGCAGGGUGCCCUCUGAACAGGUGCCCUGGGGGACACUGGGGAUGCAAGGACCAUGACCGCAUCAAACCUGGGCACUAAGCCAGACGCAGGAGCCCUCAUCCGGCCCAGCUUCUUAACCCCAACUCGGGACAUCCGGGCCUGGGUCAUCCUCUGUUGGUGGGAGAUGCCGUGUGUGGCGGAGCUUUCCUGGCCUCCAGCCACAAGAGGCUGGCAGCAUCUCCAAGUCGUGACAAUCAAAAAGGUCUCCAGAUGUGGCACAGUGGCCCCCUGCUGAGCCCAGGGCUCUAACCAGAAAGCCUCAAGAUGACAGCCAUAACCCUUGGCCCGGAGGAGGAGCUGGAUGUUUACCAGCUGUGAGGAUGGGCAGGACAGGGAGGAUAAGAACGAAGAGGCAGCAUGUGGGCUGGACAGUGAGGAGGGAGGGAGGGGCCAGACGGGACAGGACAGGGCAGGGGCUGGAUGUUGAUGGCCGUGGAUGUCACAGCCAGAUGCCACGUGUCACGCGUCAGUCCUGACCAUCAUUCCAGGAGGCUCCUCGGGCACAUUUCCACAUUUCCCUUCCGCCUUCUGCCUGGCCUUCCUCAACCUCCCACCCCACGCCCAUGCUUAUUUCCUGCCUCACAGCUUCCCUAGUUGGCUGAGGCCUGAGAGGUGAUAGAGAACCCGCUUAAGCAUGAAAGAUAGCAGGGCAAGGAAACACUCCCACCUUAUAAGAUCAAAAGAGGACAAACCUUAAAAAUAAACUUUGCAACAAUAAUAAUAAGCAAUGAUUUCCAGAGAGGAGGUAGGUGGGAAGAUACGGACGGACAAUAAUAGGUAAUGGAUAUACACAUAGAUGGACAAUAGAUACAUGGGUGGAUGGAUAAAUACAUGCAUGAUUGAUAAAUAGAUAUAUUGCUCGUUGGAAGGAAAAUUAUGACAAGCCUAGACAGCAUAUUGAAGAGCAGAGGUAUCACUUUGCUGAUAAAGACCCCUAUAGUCAAAGCUAUGGUUUUUCCAGUAGUCACAUAUAGAUGUGCGUGUUGAUUCAUAAAGAAGGCUGAGCAUCGAAGAAUUGAUGCUCUCAAAUUGUGAGGCUGGAGAAGACUCUUAAGAAUCACUUGGACCACCAGGAGAUCAAACCAGUCAAUCCUAAAGGAAAUCAACCUUGAAUAUUCAUNNNNNNNNNNNNNNNNNNNNNNNNNNNNNNNNNNNNNNNNNNNNNNNNNNNNNNNNNNNNNNNNNNNNNNNNNNNNNNNNNNNNNNNNNNNNNNNNNNNAAUCCUAAAGGAAAUCAACCUUGAAUAUUCAUUGGAAGGACUGAUGCUGCUGCUUGCACUCCCAAGAUCUCUGCUGCAAGCGUAGGUUUUUGGGUCUGAUUCUCUCCCAAGCACACUAGGGGCUGCAUAGAACCUGUCACAUUGGACUUCCCCUCACAUCCACAGCUGAACACAGCUGGAUCUGUGACCUCAGGAAGCAGAUUCCUUUCCAGGGCCCAGACCAUCAUGGUGGGACUGCAGCAGGGAGACAUAAUGUAAGGCAAGGAAGGGUGCAUGUCAGGGGAAGGGCAGUUUGCUGAGCCAGGGUCAGAAGAUGUGAAGCAGGGAAAGAGUCANNNNNNNNNNNUUACUGAGUGCACUUCCAGAGCUGGGCUCCUCCCACAGAAAGACACAUCUCACAGAGUGCUCUGAGGAUGUAAUAAGAGUCCAGCGUGAGAAUUUCACACACGUAUGGAGGUUCUCCGCUGACCACAGGCUGUCUGUUUCGUCACUCCUUGUACCAUCCUAUGCUUAGCUUGGGACCCACAGCAGCAGGUCGUUUUCUGCCCUUGAUGUGCUGCAAAAAUGUUGGAGAAUGAAUACGUACACAUUUGGAUUUCAUCCUAACUAUGGAUGUCACCUGCAAUGCAGGAGACCCAGGUCUGAUUCCUGGGCCAGGAAGAUCCCAUGGGGAAGGGAAUGGCAACCCACUCCAGUUUUCUUGCCUGGAGAAUUCCACGGACAGAGAAGUCUGGCGGGCUACAGUCU